AGAACGAACGCUGGCGGCAGGCUUAACACAUGCAAGUCGAACGCUCGUAGCAAUACGGGAGUGGCAGACGGGUGAGUAACGCGUGGGAACCUUCCCUGUGGUACGGAAUAACUUCGGGAAACCGAAGCUAAUACCGUAUAUCUCCUCCGGGAGAAAGAUUUAUCGCCAUAGGAUGGGCCCGCGUUGGAUUAGCUAGUUGGUGAGGUAACGGCUCACCAAGGCAACGAUCCAUAGCUGGUCUGAGAGGAUGAUCAGCCACACUGGGACUGAGACACGGCCCAGACUCCUACGGGAGGCAGCAGUGGGGAAUAUUGGACAAUGGGCGCAAGCCUGAUCCAGCAAUGCCGCGUGAGUGAAGAGGCCUUAGGGUUGUAAAGCUCUUUUGGCGGGGACGAGUAAUGACGGUACCGCAGAAUAAGCCCCGGCUAACUUCGCGCCAGCAGCCGC
rnacentral:rRNA from 1 species